AAUAUAAAUAUUAUCACGUUUCUGAUAAGACGUUUUUUAAGUUGUAAUAAAGGUGAAAAAUUUGCUAUGAAAUAUUAGUUGUUAAUAGACAAGCAAGAUGGAUAAAGUUCUGCUAUGUUUUCUGGCUCUUUCCUGUUUGUUUAUGUGCGAAAUAGCUUUGGCCAAGGAAACUAUUAUCAAUGUAAAACCAAUAAACGAUGCCGACAAUAACGACAAUCAAAAUACUUCACAACGUCAAAAAAGCAGUUUGAGUUCUCUUUUAUGCCUGGGCGGGGUGCUAUGUUAAAAUGGAUGCCAAAACUUUCCAACUUAAAGUAUAAUAAAAACAUCGUAAUUAAAGUGUUAUUUACUUGA